AUUGAACGCUGGCGGCAUGCUUUACACAUGCAAGUCGGACGGCAGCACAGAGACGCUUGCUUCUUGGGUGGCGAGUGGCGAACGGGUGGGUAACAUAUCGGAACGUACCGAGCAGUGGGGGAUAACUAAUCGAAAGAUUAGCUAAUACCGCAUAUUUUCUGAGGAAGAAAGCAGGGGACCUUUGGGCCUUGCGCUGUUUGAGCGGCCGAUAUCUGAUUAGCUAGUUGGUGGGGUAAAGGCCUACCAAGGCGACGAUCAGUAGCGGGUCUGAGAGGAUGAUCCGCCACACUGGGACUGAGACACGGCCCAGACUCCUACGGGAGGCAGCAGUGGGGAAUUUUGGACAAUGGGCGCAAGCCUGAUCCAGCCAUGCCGCGUGUCUGAAGAAGGCCUUCGGGUUGUAAAGGACUUUUGUCAGGGAAGAAAAGGGCGGGGUUAAUACCCCUGUCUGAUGACGGUACCUGAAGAAUAAGCACCGGCUAACUACGUG
rnacentral:rRNA from 1 species